rnacentral:rRNA from 1 species
GACGAACGCUGGCGGCGUGCUUAACACAUGCAAGUCGAACGGAAGGGCCCGGCGUUUGUUUGUUGCUCGAUUGCCGAACGCGUGAGUGACACGCGAGGAACACCCCCUUGCCUUACUGGGAACUUCUGGGAACUGCGGCUAAUACAGGGUAGGAUCUUCUGCAGCGUAGUGUGCGUUGGAAAGAUACGGUGUUUGUGGCUCUACUCGCGGCGUAUCAGCUAGAUGGGAUGGUAACGGCUUACCAAGGUUUCGAAGGGUAGCCGACCUGAGAGGGUGAUCGGCCACACGGGAGCGGAGACACGGUCCAGACUCCUACGGGAGGCAGCAGUAGGGAAUCUUCCGCAAUGGGCGAAAGCCUGACGGAGCAACGCCGCGUGAGUGAUGAAGGUCUUCGGAGCGUAAAACUCUGUUAUGAGGGAAGAACAGAUGUGGAAGUAACUGUGCACAGCUUGACGGUACCUAAUCAGAAAGCAACGGCUAACUACGUG